rnacentral:rRNA from 1 species
UACAGAGGUCUCAAGCGUUGUUCGGAUUCAUUGGGCGUAAAGGGUGCGUAGGCGGCGCGGUAAGUUGGGUGUGAAAUCCCUCGGCUCAACCGAGGAACUGCGCCCAAAACUACCGUGCUCGAGGGAGAUAGAGGUGAGCGGAACUUAGGGUGGAGCGGUGAAAUGCGUUGAUAUCCUAAGGAACACCCGUGGCGAAAGCGGCGUCACUGGGACGGUACUGACGCUGAGACGCGAAAGCGUGGGGAGCAAACAGG